CAAGGAUCAUCAAGGUCAGUUGGCCGACUGGUGUGUGAUCCGUCCUUGAGGUCCAAAAUCCCAUUUUUGAAGCGCGAAAGCCAACGUCGGGUGGUGCUUUGAGAUAUUACUCCUUCUCCAUACACAGCACAAAUCUAAC